rnacentral:rRNA from 1 species
GUUUGACCUCAAAUCAGGUAGGAAUACCCGCUGAACUUAAGCAUAUCAAUAAGCGGAGGAAAAGAAACCAACAGGGAUUGCCUUAGUAGCGGCGAGUGAAGCGGCAAAAGCUCAAAUUUGAAAUCUGGCACCUUCGGUGUCCGAGUUGUAAUUUGAAGAUUGUAACCUUGGGGUUGGCUCUUGUCUAUGUUUCUUGGAACAGGACGUCACAGAGGGUGAGAAUCCCGUGCGAUGAGAUGCCCAAUCCUAUGUAAAGUGCUUUCGAAGAGUCGAGUUGUGGGG